GUAGCCAGGUUUUAAAUGCUUUAACUUUUAAAAAAUGUAAAUUUUUGUAUGUUUAUAGCUUCUAAAUAUGAAAGUUAAAGAAUGUACUGUGAUGAAAUGUUCAGUAUUAUGUUGCUUCUCAGUAUCAUGUUGCUUCUCAGUAUUGUGUUGCUUCUGAUUCUAUGAAUGUUCAUUUUAAGACCCCUUGUUGAAAUGGGACAGUUGGCAGCGGCUCUGAUGAGCCCGAGAAGAGGCCUGCCCUUGGGUGCGGAGUCUCCCUCCGCACGAUGCUCCCACGCGUCCAACUUGCACCCAAGGGGCUUUUCCCUCUUCCAAGUGGACUCCUUCAAGGAAGCUGCAGCUCGGUCAGCAGAGAAGGGGCCUGCCGCCAGCGCCCUGGAGGAAGAGGAAGAGGAACCCAAGAGGAUGGCUUGUCUCCCAGCAGCCACACCGGCUUUGUGCUCAGCCAGUUCAUUUGAGUUUGCAUGUUUCUCUGCACUAUGGAUUUUGAGCAUUUAGAUUUCUUUAAUCAAAAGCGUUUUAGUGACUCCAGUAGACAUUUUCUUUCUGAGGCAUCGUGCUUUGCAUGAGAGCAGGCCAAGGUUGAGGGGAAAAGUAAAGUUAAAGUCGGUUCUCUUUCAUAGCAACACGUAUUGUCUGACAUUCAGCCAGCUUUUUUUUUUUCUAAUAAUUUCUGUGCCUUUCUGUCCUGUAUUUACUGUAUUUAGAAAAAGCAGCUAGAAUAUUUCUCCAUUAACUCUUGAGAUUCACAGGACUGUCUAGCUCUGAGUCCUAGCAAUAGACUCCUUAGAGGAGUAGUACGUUUAUCUAGAUUUUCUCUAGAUAAUGCAGGCGGAAGACCUGGGUUCCCGGGUGGGGCAUUGCAGUUCUUCCUGUGUUUGGCUUCCAGGAAUUACAUGAACGACAGCCUUCGCACCGACGUCUUCGUGCGGUUCCAGCCAGAGAGCAUCGCCUGUGCCUGCAUUUAUCUUGCUGCCCGGACGCUGGAGAUCCCUUUGCCCAAUCGUCCCCAUUGGUUUCUUUUGUUUGGAGCAACUGAAGAAGAAAUUCAGGAAAUCUGCUUAAAGAUCUUGCAGCUUUAUGCUCGGAAAAAGGUUGAUCUCACACACCUGGAGGGUGAAGUGGAAAAAAGAAAGCACGCUAUCGAAGAGGCAAAGGCCCAAGCCCGGGGCCUGUUGCCUGGGGGCACACAGGUGCUGGAUGGUACCUCGGGGUUCUCUCCUGCCCCCAAGCUGGGCUGGAGUGCAAUGGCGCUGUCUCAGCUCACUGUAACCUCUGCCUCCCGGGUUCAAGCGAUUCUCCUGCCUCAGCCUCCCAAGUAGCUGGGAUUGCAGUGGAAUCCCCCAAAGAAGGUAAAGGGAGCAAGCCUUCCCCACUGUCUGUGAAGAACACCAAGAGGAGGCUGGAGGGCGCCAAGAAAGCCAAGGCGGACAGCCCCGUGAACGGCUUGCCAAAGGGGCGAGAGAGUCGGAGUCGGAGCCGGAGCCGUGAGCAGAGCUACUCGAGGUCCCCAUCCCGAUCAGCGUCUCCUAAGAGGAGGAAAAGUGACAGCGGCUCCACAUCUGGUGGGUCCAAGUCGCAGAGCCGCUCCCGGAGCAGGAGUGACUCCCCACCGAGACAGGCCCCCCGCAGCGCUCCCUACAAAGGCUCUGAGAUUCGGGGCUCCCGGAAGUCCAAGGACUGCAAGUACCCCCAGAAGCCACACAAGUCUCGGAGCCGGAGUUCUUCCCGUUCUCGAAGCAGGUCACGGGAGCGGGCGGAUAAUCCGGGAAAAUACAAGAAGAAAAGUCAUUACUACAGAGAUCAGCGACGAGAGCGCUCGAGGUCGUAUGAACGCACAGGCCGUCGCUAUGAGCGGGACCACCCUGGGCACAGCAGGCAUCGGAGGUGAGGCGGGGUUGCAGUGACUGGUGGCCGCAAGCCCUUCCCUGGGGAGUACCUGAUGGCUGCCCUUUGACCCCCGGUGGCUGCCCUUUGACCCCCGGGUGUGCUCUCAGCGCAAGUGGUCCUAGAACAGGAUUCUUUUUGGAAAUGUCUGUCGACUGGACCUUGGUGGAUUUGGAAAUGGAACUGAGGGACCGGUGACACGUGCUUCAGACCGGUCUGGGGUGCGGCGCACACCUGGGCCCGUGCAGGGCUCAGCUCGGCAGCAGCUCUGAGGGCAGCUCAAUGAAAAAGUGAAUGCACACGCCCUUGUUGGCGUGGCCUGGCAUGGCCUGGUGCUAUCGGCAGCCGCUCUCCACUCCCCGACUGAUACUCAAUUACGUGAAGCCAAGAAAGAUGAUUUUUAGAACCUUUGCCUAUAUUAGGUUGUACUUAUGUACAUAUUUUGCAGUGUUUCACAGGAGAAAGUGGCCUUAACUGCCCCUUAUUCUCUCUCCACGUUGUAAAUAAACAUGUGUUUAAUACAAGUUAAAGCUAUGUAUGAAAACUCAGAACUUGAAUCCCGUCAGCUUAAAACUUGUGUAGGGAAUCCUGACUUUUAAAAUGUGAGGGUAUUUGGAUCUGUGUUGAAAGUCGUAUAUUUUUAUCUGUGCGGUGCUGAGUGCAGGCCACCAGCUCCUAAAUAGAGGUUCCCUAUAUGCGCGUAUGACAUGGUGAAUAAACACAACUCUCUCCA
rnacentral:lncRNA from 1 species